rnacentral:tRNA from 1 species
GCGGGGGUGGCGGAACGGCAGACGCGCCAGAUUUAGGAUCUGGUGGGUUUAGCCCGUGCGGGUUCAAGUCCCGCCUCCCGCA